UACGGGGGGGGCAAGCGUUGUUCGGAAUUACUGGGCGUAAAGGGCUCGUAGGCGGCCAACUAAGUCAGACGUGAAAUCCCUCGGCUUAACCGGGGAACUGCAUCUGAUACUGGAUGGCUUGAGUUCGGGAGAGGGAUGCGGAAUUCCAGGUGUAGCGGUGAAAUGCGUAGAUAUCUGGAGGAACACCGGUGGCGAAGGCAGGUCUCUGGGCCAUAACUGACGCUGAGAAGCGAAAGCAUGGGGAGCGAACAGG
rnacentral:rRNA from 1 species